rnacentral:lncRNA from 1 species
AUGUCAACAAUUUUUUAAAAAGUGCUGUAUUUUCUCCUUCCUAUUUCAUAUACCUUUUUUUGGUCUUACUUCAUUAACUAGGAUUUCUUGUGUGAUGAUGAAAAGAGUAGUGAGAGGGACAUCCUUCCUUUGCUUCUGAUCUGACUGGGAAAGCUUCAAAUUGCUCAUCAUUUUGUAUGAAUUCUAUUGAUUUUUUUUUCAAGUGGAGGAAGUUUCCCUGCUUAUAAUUUGUAAAUUUUGAUCAUGAAUAGGUGUUGGAUUUUGUCAAAUUCUCUAUCUACAUCUGCUGAUAUAAAUGGUUAUGUGACUUCUUUAACUCAUUGGUAUAAUGGAUUACAUCAAUUGAUUUUCAAAUGCUGAAAUAACCUUGAAUACUUGGGAUAAAUUUCACCUAACUGUGUUAUAAUUCUUUUUGUACAUCACUGAAUUCAAUGUGCUGAUAUUUGUUAAUUAUUUUUUUUAACAUCAAGAUCCAUGACAUAUAUUGGUCCACAAUUUUUAUUUCUUCUAAUGACUUUUUGUUUGUUUCAGAAUUAUUAACUAAAGCAGUGAGUAAGUGUUCUGUUUCUGUUUGCUGGAAGAGAUUGUAGAGGAUUGUUAUAAUUCCUUCCUUGGUUUGGUAGAAUGCAUCAGCGAACCCAUCUUGGUGCUCUCUGUUUUGGGAAGUUGUUAUUGUUGUUUUUAUUUCCUUACUUGAAAUCUAUUCAGAUUGUCUAUUAUUUCUUUUGUGAGUUUGACAGAUUUUAUCUUUCAAGAAAUGGAUCCAUUUCACCUAGUUUUCAAAUUCCCAGGUAGAGAGUUGUUCAUAUUAUUUCUUCAUUGUAUUUUUAAUGCCCUACAAUGAUGUUCCCUUUUUAAUUUAUAAUAUUAGUGAUUUGUGUCUUCUCUUUUAUUUUCUUAGU